UGGGGAAUAUUGGACAAUGGGGACCGGUAGCCAUCCAGCCAUGCCGCGCUGUGUGAAGAAGGCCUUAUGGUUGUAAAGCACUUUAAGCGAGGAGGAGGCUCUUUUGGUUAAUACCCAAGAUGAGUGGACGUUACUCGCAGAAUAAGCACCGGCUAACUCUGUGCCAGCAGCCGCGGUAAUACAGAGGGUGCGAGCGUUAAUCGGAUUUACUGGGCGUAAAGCGUGCGUAGGCGGCUUUUUAAGUCGGAUGUGAAAUCCCCGAGCUAACUUGGAAUUGGCAUUCGAUACUGGGAAGCUAGAGUAUGGGAGAGGAUGGUAGAAUUCCAGGUGUAGCGGUGAAAUGCGUAGAGAUCUUGGAGGAAUACCGAUGGCGAAGGCAGCCAUCUGGCCUAAUACUGACGCUGAGGUACGAAAGCAUGGGGAGCAAACA
rnacentral:rRNA from 1 species